rfam:Schistosoma haematobium scaffold449_2, whole genome shotgun sequence.
AUUCAGCUAACGAAUCUUAAAUAGGACGAAACACGCGUCCUGGAU